UAAGUACGCAGUCAUUUAUCAUGUACUGCUUCGGCUCCUGCUAAAUGACGGGUUUUUUGAUUUUUCAUUACCUUGGUUCUGGUCAAAACAAAUUCCCAAUUCUAGUCCUGGGAUAAUGAUCAGACAAGAUCGGAAAAGUUUGUACUUGAAACUGAAGAAUGAAGUCAGUGACUUCUGCUGUCCUGUUUCAUAAAUGACUUGAAAACUUUACACACAGAAGAAUUUCAAAAAGUUGAAAGGUUACUUAAGAACACAGAAGCACAUCUGUCCUCUUCAACCCCUUAAUGGUGGCUGCCGAGAUUUUUAAGGAUGGAUGAAUCAGAACACUAUCAUUGUUCAGCAGAGGACAUAAACACCUUCAUGGCCAUUACUGACAGUCACCGAUUUGAUUUACAAAUACCUCAGAGGGGAUCAGAUGUUGCCAAAGAGACAGUAAGGCAACAGAGGGAAGCCGGGAACUGAUAUGAGAAAGAAGACAAAGGGAGAACGACAGAAUAGAAAGAAUGCAGAAUAUUGUUCUCAAUAAUAAUAGAGACUAAUAAGAUGCAUCUACCAGCACCUAACUGGCCGUACGCUGAUUUGUCACAGUUAGUCCUCAUAUGCUUUCUUAGACCACAAAUUUUUCACAGUAAGAUAUAUCCUGCUUGAGCUGUAAGGUCCUUGACUUUUUGCAUACUACUAUGCCUAUACUUCUUACUGUAAUAAUAGAAGCUUUCUAUCUCUUUGUUAGAGGCUGACAAACACCUCCUAAAGGAAAUGCUAGAUCAGCUUAUCAUUUUCAACAUAAUUAAAGACUCAAUCAUGAAUAUUCAUGUAGGAUCACGCUGUAAAUAUUCAUUCCACUUAUCAGAACACAGAAAAAAGUGGAUCUCUAAACAAUUUACUAUAUGACCUCUACACAUAAGAAGUUGGGGUGUACAUUCAUCUGUUAGUGAAAUCCUGAAACAGUUUGAGAAAGAUGGAGCUUUUCUAAGAGGGAAAAUACAUGGUUGCAACGUGUUUAUAAACUGCUAUUUCUAAAUGCGAUGUUCCAUUUGGGGAAUAGUUGCUGACCACGCUUAUCCAAAUACCUUUACAGCACAUAUACACAGAAAUAACACAUUGGAAUUUGACUCCUAAUUACAGAAACUGGUUACUAAUUUAACUAUAAAGAUCCCAGACCUCAAAUUCCUGAUCUCAUGCCUUCUCAACUGUUCAAAUAAAUGGUUCAUCUCAAUGUAACUGAAAGCCAUGUAAUUAAGAGUUAAUACCAAUUAUUUUUUUUCUCUAGUUACAAAGCAAAUCAUAUCAUUCAGUUGCCAGAAUAAUCAAAUGCAUUUCAGUAUUAGGUAAUUAAGAAUUAUAUUAGCAAGAAUACAUUUAGUAGUUCAUGAAAUGAUACUUUUACUAUAAAAGUUUGUAUUGAGGAACUGCAGUUUUAUCGACCUCUGUAAAACAGAUGUGUUGUGAUAUCUAUUCAGAGCAAUUCCUUUUGCAUUGAAAACCUACAGUACGAACACACAACCCCAAUCAGAUGACUUACUGUGUUUCAAUGACUGCCUCACAUUUGCAUUCAUGGUUUUAUUUAUUUUUUGUUAAGCAGAAAGCCUGCC